GAAGGUAUAGCUCAGAAGUAGAGUGCAUGACUAGCAAUCAUGAAGUUCUGGGUUCAGUCCCCAGUACCUCCA
rnacentral:tRNA from 1 species